AGCUCCAAUAGCGUAUAUUAAAGUUGUUGCGGUUAAAAAGCUCGUAGUUGGAUCUCGGCGGGCAGGGGGCGGUCCGUUAUUUGACGCGACUGCCCCAUUUGUCCGUGUUUCUCGGCGGAAUUCGCAGGGUGCUCUUCACCGAGUGUCCUGCGGGGCCGCCAGGUUUACUUUGAAAAAAUUAGAGUGCUCCAAGCAGGCUCGACACGCCUGAAUAUUCGUGCAUGGAAUAAUGGAAUAGGACGUCGUUCCUAUUUUGUUGGUUUUCGGGAAUCGACGUAAUGAUUAAUAGGGACAGCCGGGGGCAUUCGUAUUCAGACGACAGAGGUGAAAUUCUUGGACCGUCUGAAGACGAACGACUGCGAAAGCAUUUGCCAAGAGUGUUUUCA
rnacentral:rRNA from 1 species